GAAAAAGGGGUGCCCUAGAAAGGCUGAGAUUAUACCCUAAGAACCUGGGCGGGUAAUGCUGCCAAGGGAAAAAUAAACGG
rnacentral:ncRNA from 11 species